GGAGAAAAUGUUAUCUUUCAUGGCCUGAUUCCAGUUCAUACAGACUCAAGAGUCAGGUUACUGUUUUUCAAAGUGCUCUGACAGAUACAGCUGAUACAGGAAAAUGAGCAGCCAUAUCCCAGCAGAUCUGUGAUAACAGUGGUGCCUGGGAGCCCCUGUCAUUCUCCACUUGCUUUUGUGCACCUCCCUUCCUGAUUUCUGCAAAGCAAGUUCCGAAGUACUGUGAGAAAGAUUGUGCUUCUAAUGAUAACACCAAUUAUAUUUUCAAAGCUGCGAAGCCAUUUGAGUAUACUUGUUAUGCAGAUCCAGAAGCUCCUUCUAUGUCAGUAGGAUCAGGAGUGGAGCCACACUUGAAUAAAAGCACUUGAUAUAUGCUUUCAGAUUUUUGAAUCUGUUUUAAGCACACGAGAAAUUUAGCUGAUGUGAAGCAAGUUGAGGGAGUUCUGCCAAGGUACAUCUACCUAACACCCAGUAUGGUAAUCUACUGCUCAUUAGAUCAAUUCAGCCCAUUAAAGAACUUUCACUAACUCAGUGAGAGUGCCUACCUGACAAUAAGUAUUAAUAUA
rnacentral:lncRNA from 1 species